GUGCAGCCGCCGCGGUAACACCGGCAGCCCAAGUGAUGGCCGAUAUUAUUGGGCCUAAAGCGUCCGUAGCUGGCCGAACAAGUCCGUCGGGAAAUCCACGUGCUUAACACGUGGGCGACCGGCGGAAACUGUUCGGCUUGGGGCCGGAGGACCCGAGGGGUACGUCCGGGGUAGGAGUGAAAUCCUGUAAUCCUGGACGGACCGCCGGUGGCGAAAGCGCCUCGGGAAGACGGACCCGACAGUGAGGGACGAAAGCUGGGAUCUCGAACCGGAUUAGAAACCCUUGUAGUCC
rnacentral:rRNA from 1 species